AUGUGUCCAACUGUCCUUCCAGCAGGUUUAUCUCUGGGGGUUCAGGUCCAUCAGUCUCCCUCUGCUGCGAUCAGAAAGGCCGGGGAUGGCGUGCAGCUCGUCUGCACUCACGGACAACCUGACUACACCGUGAUGCUGUGGUACCAGCAGUCACCUGGAGACACGGCUCUGAAACUCAUCGGAUAUGUAGAAUAUAGUACGAUAAGCUAUGAAGAAUCGUAUAAAGGGCAUUUCAAUAUCACCGGAGAUCUAAGUGGAAACACAGCAAAGAAUGUCUCCCUGUUCAUAGUGGACCUAAAAGAGCCGGAGCACAGUGCAACGUACUACUGUGCAGCUCGAUAUACACGUUGA